rnacentral:rRNA from 1 species
CACACCGCCCGUCACACCACGAAAGCCGGCUGCACCAGAAGUCGCCGAGCCAACCGCAAGGAGGCAGGCGCCCAAGGUAUGGUCGGUGAUUGGGGUG